GGAUGUGAUCAUACCAGCACUAAAGCAUCGGAUCCCAUCAGAACUCCGAAGUUAAGCGUGCUUGGGCGAGAGUAGUACUAGGAUGGGUGACCUCUUGGGAAGUCCUCGUGUUGCUUUCC
rnacentral:rRNA from 1 species